rnacentral:lncRNA from 1 species
AUGGCUGGAGAGCCCGGGCCGGGCCCUGCGCACCUGGGCCUCAAGCGGCCUCAGGGCACUGCCAGCCCCUGUACGAGUGAUUAUGACCUGGACCAUAAGCUGUACAGGGAAGAUGUCCCCUACAGUAGGGUGUAUGAAUGCCAAAGGAUCCCUCCACUCAUCAACCGCGUGCCUGUCAGGAUCCGGAGGACCCAGGUGGGCAUGGGGGUCAAAAGCAGCUUCCGUCUUCACACGGGCCCCAGGAAGAGCCACCUGCCCCGGGAGCAAAUAAAGCUCCCGACUGAGGAGCUGCACUCCAUCAGGGGGGAGCUGAGUCAGAUCAAAGCCCAAGUGGACCGUCUAUUGGAGAAUCUGGAGCACAUGGGCCAGCAGAGGGACCAGCUUCCAACUGGGGGCCCGGGACACACUCCCAGGUCAGAGGACAGUGAAGAAAACAGAGGUCCAGAACUCCAGCAGGAGCCCCAGGGCCAGAAGGCCCAUCCAGAAGCAGACAGCUCUGAGGACAGCACAGACCCAAAGGAGGCAGUGAAGAAUCCUGCAUCGGACCAGGAGGGCAGCCAGUAGAAUGGUGGAACCCCUCUGGGCUCCUUCCUGGAUGGCUCCCUUCCUUGCCUCGUGUGGGUUUUUGAAGGCCUCCUGGAGGUGCCUGUGCAGCCCGAAGCCACCCUUCUGGAAGGAGUGCAGUGAAGUGGGGGCCUGGCUCAGCCAAACUAGCCAUGAAGCUUCUCCGUAAUGGUGGCUUUUGGAGGUCAUGUUUUCCGAUGAUACGGGCUGAGGGUGGCCUGCAGCUGCCUAGCAUAAGCCUCCCAUCCUCAUGAAGCUGAGGCCGUCUUGCAAGGGGCCCCAGGUCCCCCUGGGUACACAUCAGCCCCCAGUGACCACAGGUACCGUAGUGGCUGCUCCCCACUCCGAAGGGCCCUGCCAGUUCUGAGUAGGCAGCCAGCACAGUUCCCUCCAGCCACAGUGGCAUACCGGAAACCCUCAUGUUCCUACGGUCCCCCUUCCAGUCUGCACCUGGGCUUUCAGCUCCUCAGUGUGCCCCACAUAAUCCCCUUUGGUUCCAGACUCCCCAUCCACCCUGUAAAGCCAUCCUUCAGAAUAGGGACAUCAUUUUUAUGUUCUGCUCCUGUCUAGUCUCUUGCUAGUGUGAUACUAUGUGUUUCAGAUCUGCUCUGGAAAUAGUAUUGUAUCAAAAGGGAGAAAAUGCACAUUUUCCCCCCUUUUGGGGGUCAGGGGUUCUUGGUAGGGUCAUCAAGCCUCAUUCUGGUCUUUGGGCUGCCUCAGGCCAGGCCUUCCUGGAGAAGCUGAGCAGGCCCCUGCAUCACAGAAGUUCAGCAGUUCCUACUCAGCCAGGGCACAGAAGAGGGGACCAGGCUUCCCUGCCUUCUUCCAAUUCAGACCUGAGCACAAACCCACAGAGCUCAUGAGCCACAUAGGGAAGAUCCUGCUCUUGUGGUCACUCAGGCCAGUUCUCCAUAUGGAAUGAUGGCCAGGCCACAUCUGACUUCCCAACAACCAGCAGCUCUUACUCCUGGAAGUUCAUCUGCCCUUUCCCAGGAGGCAAGACUGGACCAGGGGCACCAAAUAAUAAAGCCAACCUGGUGCAGCA